rnacentral:tRNA from 1 species
GCUGGGAUAGCUCAGUUGGUAGAGCAGAGGACUGAAAAUC